ARAUCCGUCGACUUUUAAAAUCGUGAGGGUUCAAGUCCCUCUAUCCCCA
rnacentral:tRNA from 1 species